CGUGGGAGUCGGCGGAGUCGCGGGGAUGUUCUGCAUUGCAACUUUAUCAAAAUUUAAUUGAUGUUACAUUUUUUCACUGCAUCUAAGAAAAAUAUGUUUUGAUUCCCAGUGGCUGACAUAUAAAGGAGCUUGUGGAACAUUAGCAAACGUAAUAAAUAAUCGUUAAACCCUAACAAUUCUGAAGAUGGAAUUAUGAAGAUGGCAACUUUUCUAUGUGGCUUUGAAGAAAAGGGGAUAAAGAAUGACAGGCCUGAGGACCAGUUGAGUAAA